AUUUAUUACAAGGAAGGCUUCCUUGAUACAUUAUACAAUUUGUUUUAACAUUAAAGACAGGUUCACUGAAGUGCUUACGCCCUAUUUUGGAAAGUAUAAUUUCUUUCUUUUCUUUAUUAUUAUCCUGGAGUCCAUCUUUGCUGCAAUAGCUUCUUCUAUAUUUUGAAAACAUUUUGACAAAACUUCUCCUUUUUUAAAUAAUGCAAAGUACUUUCUUCUUCUUCAAGAAAAAGAAAAACGUAAGGAAAUUAGAUAAAAGAGAAGAUACGGAAGAAGUUAGGACGGUUUUAUCGGUUUAAUGUUCGAAUCAGUGCGAUUUAUUCACAACUUCCCACCAAAUCGUUAUAAGGCUAUUACCAUCGUUACGUCAUAGAAAAACAAAUACAUUACUGAUUACUCCAAUCGAUGAAAAUUUAAUUAUGAUUCUUCGCCUAGACAUAAAGGAAGCAUUUCGUUGCUCUUCGUUACAUCCAUCCAGCGAACACUAUAUAUAUGGAGAGUUCACGCAUUUCUGGAAACAGAUUAUGGCGAUGGGUAAUGAUUUGAUUAAUAAUUCGACCAAACGACGUCAUAUCUAGGAAUCUAUCUCAUUUAUUCAUGAGAAACGUUGGUUUGCCAAGAAGAACCCCUCUAUUCAUCUCCUAGUCUCAGUUUUCCUAUUUCUUCGGAAAGAAUUCCAAGAUGGGUUUCGAGUGACUCUCAUCAUCUUCACUUUGAUGCUAAUGUAAAGGAAGUACAACCCUUGGAAUAGGUUUCCUUAGUGAUUAAAGAACAAUUAAUGAAGAAAGUGAAUAGAUUUCGUCGUUUUGAUUAUUUUUCAAGUGAAUGAGUAUAAAUUUCUUUCAUGAAUUACUCCUUGACACGUAGUGACGAAUGAUUAACAUAAGGAAAGUUCAUAAGAAUUUUUAUGGGAAUGAUACAUUUUAUACUUUUUGGGAUUUUGUGUUAAUUAUUACUAAAUGAAGCAUUACAAUAUUACUUACGAAAAAUUGAAUUAUGACGUGUAUGCCUGAAUAAUGGGCAAUUUUAAAACAUACUUAAAUAAUUUUCAAUUAUUUAAUACUUUACAAGACUAUUGUUAUAUUCUCACUUAUAAUGAGCUCAAUAAAUAUUCAAUACUUUUCUA
rnacentral:lncRNA from 1 species